rnacentral:misc_RNA from 1 species
ACAUCUCAACUCCUCACGGUUUGCCCGUGAUGAGCUUGGACUUUGGGGGUCUUGCCGGCCUGCAGGUCGGCUCCUCUCAAAUGAAUCAGCUUGCCGGUGUUUGGUGGCGUCACAGGUGUGAUAACUAUUUACACUUGUGGUUUUCUGCCAAGCAACCUCCAGCGAUGGGGGUUCACUGGAGCUCACAAACGUCUCUCCUCGGUGAGGACGGCUUUUUGAAC